rnacentral:ncRNA from 1 species
AUAUAAGUGCCUUUCGUCAUGGAAAGGAUAAUAGGGAAAUAAGUGAGAAGCUUAUGCGAUGCCGUCACUGUGAAGGUUUCGCUUUCUGAAUGGCUGUAAGGCCGCCACUGCAUGAGCGGGAAGGGAUCAGAAAGCACAGGGCCGAAGCCAGGAGACCUGCUUAUAU